AGUGAACGCUGGCGGUAGGCCUAACACAUGCGAGUCGAACGGCAGCACAGGAGAGCUUGCUCUCUGGGUGGCGAGUGGCGGACGGGUGAGGAAUACAUCGGAAUCUACCUUGUCGUGGGGGAUAACGUAGGGAAACUUACGCUAAUACCGCAUACGACCUUCGGGUGAAAGUGGGGGACCGCAAGGCCUCACGCGAUUAGAUGAGCCGAUGUCGGAUUAGCUAGUUGGCGGGGUAAAAGCCCACCAAGGCGACGAUCCGUAGCUGGCCUGAGGGGCUGAUCAGCCACACUGGAACUGAUACACGGUCCAGACUCCUACGGGAGGCAGCAGUGGGGAAUAUUGGACAAUGGGCGCAAGCCUGAUCCAGCCAUACCGCGUGGGUGAAGAAGGCCUUCGGGUUGUAAAGCCCUUUUGUUGGGAAAGAAAUCCUGUCGAUUAAUACUCGGUGGGGAUGACGGUACCCAAAGAAUAAGCACCGGCUAACUUCGUGCCAGCCGCCGCCGUAAGAC
rnacentral:rRNA from 1 species